rnacentral:lncRNA from 1 species
UGGGCUGGGCAUUGGGCUGGUGUUGGGGUUUGUAACGUUUGAGCUUAUGGUGUCUGAAACUUUAGGCUAGCUAGGCCUACUUGGAUUUGGGCCUGUUGAUGUAAAGAACUGGAUUGUGUAAUUUUUUGGACUUUUAAUUUUUUAUUUCUAUUGGUUUUAUUUAUUUUAUAAAAUUGGGCCGGGCAAAUUGGGUAUUACAGCUGCUC